rnacentral:rRNA from 1 species
AUUGAACGCUGGCGGCAUGCUUUACACAUGCAAGUCGAACGGUAACAGGUCUUCGGAUGCUGACGAGUGGCGAACGGGUGAGUAAUGCAUCGGAACGUGCCCAGUCGUGGGGGAUAACGCAGCGAAAGCUGUGCUAAUACCGCAUACGAUCUAUGGAUGAAAGCGGGGGACCGUAAGGCCUCGCGCGAUUGGAGCGGCCGAUGUCAGAUUAGCUAGUUGGUGGGGUAAAGGCCCACCAAGGCGACGAUCUGUAGCUGGUCUGAGAGGACGACCAGCCACACUGGGACUGAGACACGGCCCAGACUCCUACGGGAGGCAGCAGUGGGGAAUUCUGGACAAUGGGCGCAAGCCUGAUCCAGCAAUGCCGCGUGCAGGAAGAAGGCCUUCGGGUUGUAAACUGCUUUUGUACGGAACGAAACGGUCUGGGUUAAUACCCUGGGCUAAUGACGGUACCGUAAGAAUAAGCACCGGCUAACUACGUGCCAGCCGCCGCAGUAA